GAUGAACGCUGGCGGCGUGCCUAAUACAUGCAAGUCGAGCGAAUGAUGAGGAGCUUGCUCCUCUGAUUUAGCGGCGGACGGGUGAGUAACACGUGGGUAACCUGCCUGUAAGAUGGGGAUAACUCCGGGAAACCGGGGCUAAUACCGAAUAAUAAAAGAGGAAGCAUUUCUUCUUUUUGAAAGUUGGUUUCGGCUAACACUUACAGAUGGGCCCGCGGCGCAUUAGCUAGUUGGUGAGGUAACGGCUCACCAAGGCGACGAUGCGUAGCCGACCUGGGAGGGGGAUCGGCCACACUGGGACUGAGACACGGCCCAGACUCCUACGGGAGGCAGCAGUAGGGAAUCUUCGGCAAUGGGCGAAAGCCUGACCGGGCAACGCCGCGUGAGCGAGGAAGGCCUUCGGGUCGUAAAGCUCUGUUGUCAGGGAAGAACAAGUACGAGAGUAACUGCUCGUACCUUGACGGUACCUGACCAGAAAGCCACGGCUAACUACGUGCCAGCAGCCGCAGUAAGAC
rnacentral:rRNA from 1 species